rnacentral:lncRNA from 1 species
CGCGGGUUUGCCCCGCCGGAGUAAUCCGGAAGAGGCCUCUUAUUAGGGCUCUGGUGGCGGCGGCGGCAGACACUUGGGGUCUGGACGCAACGGAGGCGGGAGCGUGAACGCCCCUCCAGCCUUCGAGUCGUUCUUGCUCUUCGAGGGCGAGAAGAAGAUCACCAUUAACAAGGACACCAAGGUACCCAAUGCCUGUUUAUUCACCAUCAACAAAGAAGACCACACACUGGGAAACAUCAUUAAAUCACAGUGUGACCUAAAGGACCCGCAAGUGCUAUUUGCUGGCUACAAAGUCCCCCACCCCUUGGAGCACAAGAUCAUCAUCCGAGUGCAGACCACGCCGGACUACAGCCCCCAGGAAGCCUUUACCAACGCCAUCACCGACCUCAUCAGUGAGCUGUCCCUGCUGGAGGAGCGCUUCCGGACGUGCCUGCUUCCCCUUCGCCUUCUGCCGUGAUUGUCAGUUUCCUGAGGCCUCCCCAGCCACGCUUUCUGUACAGCCUGCAGAACUGUGAGUCAAUUAAACCUCUUUUCUUCAUAAAU